UACGUAGGGUGCAAGCGUUAAUCGGAAUUACUGGGCGUAAAGCGUGCGCAGGCGGUUUUGUAAGUUUGUCGUGAAAGCCCCGGCUCAACCUGGGAAUUGCGAUGAAGACUGCAAGGCUUGAAUCUGGCAGAGGGGGGUAGAAUUCCACGUGUAGCAGUGAAAUGCGUAGAGAUGUGGAGGAACACCGAUGGCGAAGGCAGCCCCCUGGGUCAAGAUUGACGCUCAUGCCACGAAAGCGUGGGGAGCAAACAGG
rnacentral:rRNA from 1 species